rnacentral:rRNA from 1 species
UACGUAGGGUGCGAGCGUUGUCCGGAAUUAUUGGGCGUAAAGGGCUCGUAGGCGGUCUGUCACGUCGGGAGUGAAAACUCGGGGCUUAACUCCGAGCCUGCUUCUGAUACGGGCAGACUAGAGGUAUGCAGGGGAGAAUGGAAUUCCUGGUGUAGCGGUGAAAUGCGCAGAUAUCAGGAGGAACACCGGUGGCGAAGGCGGUUCUCUGGGCAUUACCUGACGCUGAGGAGCGAAAGUGUGGGGAGCGAACAGG